rnacentral:rRNA from 1 species
UACGAAGGGGGCUAGCGUUGCUCGGAAUCACUGGGCGUAAAGCGCACGUAGGCGGGCUUUUAAGUCGGUGGUGAAAUCCUGGAGCUCAACUCCAGAACUGCCUUUGAUACUGGCGAUCUCGAGUCCGGGAGAGGUGAGUGGAACUGCGAGUGUAGAGGUGAAAUUCGUAGAUAUUCGCAAGAACACCAGUGGCGAAGGCGGCUCACUGGCCCGGUACUGACGCUGAGGUGCGAAAGCGUGGGGAGCAAACAGG